AGAGUUAAAUCUCAGUUUUCAGUUAGCUUGAACCACUGGGCUGAGGCUCAGAAGCACUUCAUACCUUCCCCCCACGGCCACCUUUUUUUCUCUCUUUACAUAAGACAGAAUGGAUAGAGGGGGCCACCACUAGCACUGGACCCCAGGAGUCUCUAUCUGUCAAGCCAGUGCACAUUCAGCCUGCAGAAAUUCAUCAAAAUUACCGGUUAAGUGUUUCUACCAGUUACUGGCUCCAGCCACGUCAGCUCCCGGCCUGCUUGUCUACCUAUUGUCAGCACCUGUGCCUCUUUGCAUAAGACCUUUGUCUUGUCAAAGAAGAAUGCACUACCUAUGUGAAUUAUAAGCCAGACACUGGGGACAUAGAAAUGCUUCCCCAUCAGCCCAACCAAUGAGUGGCAGAAGCUGGUGCAUAAUCUGGCAGCUCCGUUAUUCAUUUGGCAGACUUAUUCUGAGGGGUUUGUUCCUUACUACCUCCUAAAUAUUAUAACAUGAUUGACAAUUUACUCUGCUGAUUUUUUUCCCUUUCUAUAUCAAUUCUAUCCAAAUUCAAAUCUAUAUACUAUUCUCUCAAUAUUUCUAUGAUAUUUUAUUGCAUAACUACCAGCACUUACCUUUUUGUCUCAGGCUCUGUUUGGGGGGAAACCAUACAUAAGAUGAUAUCAUUUGUGGUCCUAAGCAAAGCCUUAGGAUUGAGUUCUGAAAUGUGAUCACUUUUCAAGCAGAUUAAAAAAAAAGAAAGAAAGAAAGACACUGUUAUCAGUAGUAAGGAGAUAAUAAUAUUCUCUGGCAUGGUGAUUUGAAA